rnacentral:rRNA from 1 species
GACGAACGCUGGCGGCGUGCCUAAUACAUGCAAGUUGAACGAAGUUGCUUUAACUGGUGCUUGCACCGACUUAAACAACUGAGUGGCGAACGGGUGAGUAACACGUGGGUAACCUGCCCCAAAGUGGGGGAUAACAGUUUGGAAACAGAUGCUAAUACCGCAUAACCACAGAAACCUCAUAGUUUCGUGUGUCAAAGAUGGUUUCGGCUAUCACUUUGGGAUGGACCCGCGGCGUAUUAG